GCCCCCCGCCCAGGUGGGGACGGGGCACUCGGCCUCCUGCCAGCCCCCCUCCGCCCCCAGCCCGGUCCUGACCCCCCUCCCACUUUGCACCGGGAGGCUCGGGGGCUGUGCAGCCCAGAAGGACCAGCUCCCAUCACCUGCCCGACGAUUCAGGAGGAAGAGGAGAUAACAUACUGGCUCAAACAUACUCUUUGAUGCAAUAGACCAUUCCAGCCUAGAGGACAUCCUGUGGAUCAUACACCUGGAUUCGCAGCUUGAGUUUCACAUUACUUCUAGGAUUCCUCAGGAGUUCUGACCAGGAGUUCUUUUUAUCUUCAUCAUGUAUGUUUUUUAUUGGAGAAGAACUUCCUUUCAUCAUAUACAAUCUUGGUGGGUCCCUCAAUCAAGAUGUUCAUUCCAACUCUGGCCAAGGAGUGGACACACUACUCAAGAUAUCCAAAGCUGCUAUUUCACAUCUUUUCCAACGCAAAAUUAUUCAGCUUCUCUCUAUUCUAGGUCCGUGAUUUUCAAGCUGCUAUUUUGAAAACGGGUCGUGCAAUCGAGUGAGUGAGUCCAGCUAGCAUUGGCGAGAAAAAGAGAAAUCACACAGAGCAGAACAUUUCGGAGGGCAUAGCCAAUAGUAAAGGUGGACCUCUCCACAGGGUUUCUUAGGCUUCUUCACAGUACAGAAGCUGACUAACAAAAAGGAGUGUUCCAGGAGGCCUAGGAGGAAGCCAUAAGACUUCUUAGGACUUCUAGCUCCAUGGGGAUCAAUCAGAAUCCUUUGCCACAUUGAUCAAGUAGGUGACUAAGACCACUGAGAUUCAAGGUGAGCGGAAAGAUUCUAUGGAAAGAGUAGCAAAGAAUUUGAAGACACUUUUAAUCUACCCCGCCCUGUAUGUUUAUCCAAGUUUUGCUGACUAGACCAUCACGGCGUCUCUCACAUCCAUUCCUCAUGCUUUCAUCCACCCAAAACCUCUUGUGCGGAGCAGGCAAACAAAUCUGCAUGGCAGCGCCAACGGAUCAGGAAGGAGAUGGUGUCAGACCCUCGCAGCAAUGUGGUAGCCUCCGAACAGCCACGAAGGCAGCUUUGAAAAUGUUGAGGACUAUGACCUUCUGUUAUGACGCUAGUCUUAAGAGGCAAAUGACCUGUGUUACCACAGAUCCCUAUAUGGUGUGGUUUCCAGGAAUGCAUUGUGGACAUAAACAAGGACAGCCUGUACCGUUCCAGGAAAUGGAAGUGAAACAGACCAGCAUUUGAGUGACACUGAAAUGGAUCCCGCAAACACACUGGAUCAGGGUUGUAUAAUUUAAUACAAUUAUUUGUAAACUGGAGGCCGAGACUUAUUAUAUAAAAAUGGCAUAUAGUGGAUAUGAAAGAGAAAGAAGUGUGAGUUGGAGUGAAUCUGGUCAGCGGAACUGUAUCUUUGUUGCACAAAAGAGCUUGUUGGCCAAAGCUUCCUCUAGCUCUCUGCAGUAAUCAGCAGAAUUCAUUCUUCCUUUUGCCUCGAUUCCAAGGAUUCAAACAGAACCUGUGAAGUUGACAACUUCCUUAUUUGACACAUGUUUGAUCUCUGCAGAACCUCUAUUCAUUUACUGGGUGCUUAACCACUUAUUUCCCUGAAAUUCAACUUCACAUUGCACACAGUGUUGACUCUCACAUGAAAAACCUAGGGAUCAGCCCAAAAAAAUCUUCAGUGUGAACAUGAACACCGCAGGCGAGUAUUUUUACUAGGAGCAAUGUGCAUCCAGGAUAAAGGAAGAAAGGAUACCGAGGGGGGUGGGGAAUCAACCAAAAUACAUUAACUAGUUAGAGACCACUGCACUCAACAAUAGAUGAGCAUCCGAUUCAAGUGGUUGAAAUCAGAAACUUUUCCCCAGCUGUACUGAGAUACAUUUGGCAUAAAACACUGCAUAAGUUUAAGGUGUACAACAUAUUUCAUAUACCUAUAUAUUGCAAAAUGUAAAGCUGGAAUUUAAAGAGAUUGUGAAAAAAAAGGGAAAAAAGUAAUAAAAAAAGUAAAGAGGUUGUGGCAUCAUAUAUUAGAGCGGGUUAUAUCCCAAAUAUGGGAUAGAGUGGUUAUAUCCCAAAUAUGGGAUAGAGUGGUUAUAUCCCAAAUAUGAUUUUUAUUUUUCACUUGGAAUAGUACACCGCAUAAACACGUAUAUUUUAUGAAGGUUGUUUUUAAAGUUUAUUGGACAUUUAGUAAAGGCCAGCACUAAGAC